UCGAGACAAACUUAACAACCGCUUUAAAAAUCCCACCAUUUUCGGUAGGAAUCUCACGGGGAAGAAGUAGAAGAGGGAAAGACGUGGUCGGGUGCGAUAUCCCCAUCGACUCAAGUCUUUAGCAAGAGAUUUGGGGUAUGGAUGUUGCCAAGUAUGAGCAGCGAAGGAGAGCAGCAGCAGCUGCAGCUGCUUGUAUGGCUGCUAUAGCUGCAAUACUAGUUGCAUUAGAUGACGAUGAUGAUGAUGAUGAUGACAACGACGAAAAUUAGAGACAGGGUGUUUACUCUCGCGAGCUGGCUGCCAUUGCUGAAGGCAUCAAAGAGAUGGCUGAUGCACUUCAAGAGCUGCCCAACCCUUAUGUCAAGAAUUUGACACCUAUACUGUGUUAUUAGGGAAAUCCCUGAAAUUUCUGAUGACAUGGAAGCUAGGUCACUUGAAUACUUGAGUGCAGAUCCAAUGUGAGCUAAUGUAUUUAUGACAAUGUCUCACAGAGGACUGCUUUCCUUUGGAGGCACUUGAAUUCACAGGACGAGAGUGGACAGUAGGGUCUCACUGAUUCAGGGAAGCUUGUUAACAUACUCUAUUGGUAACUUGGGCGAUUACGCAUGACACUUGAUAUUUGUCAUAAUGUUGGUUGGUUCGUUCAAUUUUUUGCUAAGUCUAUGUGGAUCUGUAUACCACCUAGAAAUAGUUGAAUGGAUGAAUUUCUUGUUUUCUUUUCUUGUAUUUUUCUGCCAUGAAUCUCAAACCGCUUGUUUCCUUC